rnacentral:rRNA from 1 species
CCUACGGGGGGCAGCAGUGAGGAAUAUUGGUCAAUGGCCGGAAGGCUGAACCAGCCAAGCCGCGUGAAGGACGAAGGUGCCAAGCAUUGUAAACUUCUUUUGUCAAGGGACAAAAUCAGGCUCGAGAGCCUGACCGAGGGUACUUGAAGAGAAAGCAUCGGCUAACUCCGUGCCAGCAGCCGCGGUAAUACGGAGGAUGCGAGCGUUAUCCGGAUUUAUUGGGUUUAAAGGGUGCGUAGGUGGUUAAUUAAGUCAGCGGUGAAAGUUUGUGGCUCAACCAUAAAAUUGCCGUUGAAACUGGUUGA